CCUCGUUGGACUCAGAUUUUAAUUGAGGAUCGUACUAAUUUUUGUCUCAGGGCUGCUCACAGCUAAUCUAAUAAAAUGACAUGACAGCUAAGCUGCUUUAUUAUGAAACAUGCUUCAAAUCGUGAAGGUUACCACGUUAAUUUUCGAUUUCUUUUUUUCACAUACCGUCGGAUAAUAUAGAAUAAUCAUCACCGGAGAUCUCAUAUCUUUUACUACAGGACUUGAACGCUAAAAACGAGCGUGUUUAAUCCACAAGAGCUAUUAUCCUAUAUAGUUAAAAUAAUGUAUUGGUGUGUGUGUGUUUGUGUAAUGUGUGUCUUACUUUGAAAACAAAUAUAACAACACAUUUAUUUCAAAAACAGAGAAUGAUACGGACUCUAGACAUAAGAUAAAAGUUGCUUAGAACUUGGAGUUACGUACGUAAGGCUAUGUUUAAUUAUGAUCAUUAAUUAUGAGUCCUAAUUCCUGGGGUCUGGAGGAAAGUUUGAUUUUUCCAUAAUAAGUUGAUUUUUUUUCAUAAAACAAGAUAGAUUCUCCGACUAAAGUGGUUGAGAAAAUGAUAUUUCGUUUAGAUUAAAAAUAUGAAACUAAAUAAGCCUUUUUGUUGCUCAAAAAUAAAAAUAUUUUAAAUGUCAGAAUCUCAAUCAAAGAUGAUGAUAUAAUAUCAUGUUUCUGUCAAGACUUUCAAUCCACCGUAGGGGGAGAAAGAGUCAAUUUUCCUAAAAAAAAAUUCCGUCAUAGUUGUUACGUAAUUAUAUCAAGGAUCACUUCAAAGACAAUCAAGAGUUUGGACCUGAUAGAUUUGGAGGGAAAGAGUUUUCAUCGUUCAGCAGAGAGAUAGUUCAAUUCCUGAUAUGUUUAGGAAGAUCUAUGGAGAAUAAAGGAAGGCUCUCCAAGUCAGAAAUGAAAGGAAAAAUUGUACUUAUACCGAAAAAGGGAUAUGGGACCAAUUUAAGUAAUUGGUAACCAAUAAGUAUAUUAAAUGAAACCCACAGAAUUAUUUUUGGAGUAGUAGCUAAUGAAAUGUAAUUAAUGCUUAAUAAAAGAAUCGGUUCGCAUCAAAAAGAUUUGCUUAAAGGUAGAAAAAUGGCUGAUAUUGCAAGCAAUAUCUACUGUACGAUUGAUAGCAUCGAAAAAAGGGGAAAAAUGGCGCCAUUAUCGCAGUAGACAUUACAAAAUCUGUUGACUCACUUUCCCAAAGCCUCAUUUUACGAAAGACGAGAGAGAGUUUUUUUUUACCGAGUCGACUUUAUAAUCCAAUUAGACACCUUUUAAUCAAUGGGACUUCAAGAAUAACUUAAAAUGGAAAGGAAAGUGAUCCAAUAUUUCUCAAAAAAACCUAUCGUUAAGGCUACCUUACUGCUCCUCUACUUUUUGUUAUGGCUAUAAAAUAAUUGGUUUUUUUUUAAUUAGGAGGAAAUAUAGUGGAUUUUGUGCUUUAUUCGAACAUCAGAAGCACAUUAUUGAUCUAUACGCAGAUGAUGUCACGUUAUUUCUAGAAGCCAGUUCUGGAGCGCAACUUAUGAUGUAGAAAGUUGAGGUAAUAAUGUCUUUUUUGGUCAAUUUAAAUGAAGAUCCUGUCUGUAAAUGAAUCAAAAGAAAAUAUUUAUCGAACCAGUGGGAGAAUGGAAUCAUGUAUUCGAUACAAGAGUUGCAGGAUGUUACCUUAAAAAAGCGUAUAUAUUAGGUAUAGAACAGUCAAAAUAUGGGGAAUCAAAUAGCAAGUGUUAUAUAAGGCCUCAGAAAUAAAGGAAAAUGGCUUCUAGAUAUUUUCCAUAAAUCUUAUAUUCCGCUUCUCAAAAGAUUGAGGAAAGAUUUAGAUGGAGGUUUAGUACUCUUUAAGUAAAGUUUUGCGUAAAAUUUAUAUAUAGGUUCUUAUUCACUUAUCGGCAAGAUCCGAACUCGAAUGGAGAUUUGUAAUCUCUAAAUCGAUCAAAUAUCCGUCUUUAAUGCUCUGCUCAGACCUCUCCAAUGAUUACUUGAGCCCACUUUCUCCUCAUAUGCUGCUGUUUAAAGAAUUGUAUGAUAUGCUAAACCUAUCCAUGAUUCGACAACAACGGUUGAUAUAUUUAGGCUGGAUUAAUCAAAAAGAGUUUUUUUCAAAAAUCUUGAAAAUUCCCAAAGUUUAGAAAUGGAAACAAUGCAGCGUAAUAUUCUUACA
rnacentral:lncRNA from 1 species